rnacentral:rRNA from 1 species
CUCCGUAAUUCGAAUGAGUACAAUUUAAAUCCUUUAACGAGGACCAACUGGAGGGCAAGUCUGGUGCCAGCAGCCGCGGUAACUCCAGCUCCAGAAGCGUAUAUUAAAGUUGUUGCAGUUAAAAAGCUCGUAGUUGGAUCUGGGUUGCAUGGCUACAUGCCGUCGCUUGUGUGUUCGUUGCGGUUACUGCCGUGGCGGGCAUAUGAGUCGGUCUCGUGGUUGUGCUUCCUUUCUGCUGUGUCUGUUUACAGGUGUCAGCGUGGCUGGUGGGUUCGCCUGCCGGUCUGUUGGCAUGCUUCUUGAUGCCUUUAACCGGGUGUCGGAGGCGGACAGCACGUUUACUUUGAACAAAUCUGAGUGCUCAAAGCAGGCCUUUGUGCCUGAAAGUUCUUGCAUGGAAUAAUGGAAUAGGACUUCGGUUCUAUUUUGUUGGUUUUCGGAUCCGAAGUAAUGGUUAAGAGGGACAGACGGGGGCAUUUGUAUGGCGGUGUUAGAGGUGAAAUUCUUGGAUCGCCGCCAGACAAACUACAGCGAAAG